UACGUAGGGUGCGAGCGUUAAUCGGAAUUACUGGGCGUAAAGCGUGCGCAGGCGGUUCGUUAAGUCGAUGUGAAAGCCCCGGGCUCAACCUGGGAACUGCAUUGGAAAUUGGCGGGCUGAGUGUGGCAGAGGGGGGUGGAAUUCCGCGUGUAGCAGUGAAAUGCGUAGAUAUGCGGAGGAACACCGAUGGCGAAGGCAAUCCCCUGGGCCUGCACUGACGCUCAUGCACGAAAGCGUGGGGAGCAAACAG
rnacentral:rRNA from 1 species